AAACGUAGGAGUCCCUGCUCAGGCUUGUUAAAUUCCCACUUGCAACUUGGUCAGGAUGCUCACUAGAGUAGUUCUGCCUUAUACUGGAAUUAUAAGCAAAAGGAGGGUAAAUGAGAGAGACUAGUGCAAGGGGGAAGGGAGGAGACUCCAGCAUUUGUGGGAGGAUAAUUAGCACAGUGGGUUUUCUUAUAAUUGGGAUCAUUUGUUCUCCCAGUUUUUCUCCCACAAACUGAUUUCAUGCCAGAGAGAAGCUGUGUGACUCACACCUUGCCAUGCCAAUUAGCUGAUAAACAUCAAAUGUAAACAAAGAUGGUUUAAUUAAGACUAGUCACCAAACCUCUCCAUGCAGCUUGUCAAAAACAGCACUAACAUCUUUGCAUCCAUCUUUGGUCUACUACUGCUUUCUGGGGCCUUGCCAGACAGGCCUUCAAGAGCAGCUCUGUGAUCAUCUGUGCAAGUUCCUUCAGUGCACUGGGAGGUGAUUUAUCUGAUCAGGGAGACUUGAAUUAAUCUACAUAAACUAAGUUAAAUCUUCAGUAAGUUUGAGAACUAAUUUUCAAACCUUAGUGUGAGUUCUUUACUAGAAAGAGAGAGAAAGAGAGACCUGGAGAGAAGAAAGAAGAGACUGCUUCUCUACUGAGACCAAAAAUGUGAUCCAUGAUCUCUUCUGCACAAAGUAUUUUAUAACCUGACAACAGUGGAACAGAUAAUCCUUAACGUACAACCACGGUUGGGACCAGAACUUCCAUUGCU